rnacentral:ribozyme from 13 species
UUUUUUUUUUUUUUUUUUUUUUUUUUUUUUUUUUUUUUUUUUUUUGAACACGAGAGAGACGGAGAGCCGCUGCA